rnacentral:rRNA from 1 species
GGGAAUAUUGCACAAUGGGCGCAAGCCUGAUGCAGCCAUGCCGCGUGUGUGAAGAAGGCCUUCGGGUUGUAAAGCACUUUCAGCGAGGAGGAAGGGUUCAGUGUUAAUAGCACUGUUCAUUGACGUUACUCGCAGAAGAAGCACCGGCUAACUCCGUGCCAGCAGCCGCGGUAAUACGGAGGGUGCAAGCGUUAAUCGGAAUUACUGGGCGUAAAGCGCACGCAGGCGGUUUGUUAAGUCAGAUGUGAAAUCCCCGCGCUUAACGUGGAACUGCAUUUGAAACUGGCAAGCUAGAGUCUUGUAGAGGGGGGUAGAAUUCCAGGUGUAGCGGUGAAAUGCGUAGAGAUCUGGAGGAAUACCGGUGGCGAAGGCGGCCCCCUGGACAAAGACUGACGCUCAGGUGCGAAAGCGUGGGGAGCAAAACAGGAUUAGAUACCCUGGUAGUCCACGCUGUAAACGAUGUCGACUUGGAGGUUGUGCCCUUGAGGCGUGGCUUCCGGAGCUAACGCGUUAAGUCGNCCGCCUGGGGAGUACGGCCGCAAGGUUAAAAC